rnacentral:rRNA from 1 species
GCCUGCCCAGUGACCAUGUGUUCAACGGCCGCGGUAUCCUGACCGCGCGAAGGUAGCGUAAUCACUUGUUUUUUAAAUAAAGACUAGUAUGAAUGGCCGCACGAGGACUUAACUGUCUCCUUUGUCCAAUCAGUGAAACUGAUCUCCUCGUGCAGAAGCGAGGAUAAUACCAUAAGACGAGAAGACCCUAUGGAGCUUUAAACUAUGUAUCAAUUAUUUUUCCCACCCACUCUAUAGAACUAACUAUUAAUUAAAUUCAUUUGAUACAGGUUUUAGGUUGGGGCGACCAUGGAGAAAAAAAAAUCCUCCCUGAUGACUACAAACCAAGAGCCACAGCUCUAAAUAUUAAGACACUUAACUUCUAUUGACCCACUUUGUGAUCAACGAACCAAGUUACCCUAGGGAUAACAGCGCAAUCCACUUCAAGAGUCCUUAUCGACAAGUGGGUUUACGACCUCGAUGUUGGAUCAGGGCAUCCAAGUGGUGCAGCCGCUACUAAAGGUUCGUUUGUUCAACGAUUAAAGCCCU